UGUUAAAUCAGCAUUCUUAUUUUUUUCAUCAGCAACUAUUGUGUACGUCAUCUAAGUAAGAUAUCAUCAUCUCCAGUCAUACUGAGAAGCUGAUUGUGAACACCGACACCAGUUCUGAUGUUUACAUUUCCAGUUUACCUGCAGUAUGUCAGAGAAGCAAGAAAAGGACUCUCUGUCUGAGAUGAGUCUCUCAGAGAAACCGAGUGUAAAAAACAGGCUCAGAUGUGUCCAGCUCUGUGUCUGUGAAGAGUGACUGGUCAAGAGAUCAACCACCAAAUUUCAGUGAGGAAGCACCAUCAUCUACCAAAAGUGUAAGAACAGGAUCAGAUGUGCCCAGCUCUGUGUCUGUGAAGAGUGACUGUUCAAAAUAUCUUCCUCCGGUAUUCAGUGAUGAAAAACCAUCAUGUACCAAAAAGG